rnacentral:lncRNA from 1 species
UGAGUUUGUCAUAUAGAAACUACAAUGUACGAUGUAGAGUUUGGCAAAUGAAAGAGUUAUGCUAAGCCUCCAUGAAUCAUUCCAUUAUACUGACCGAGUUCAAGAUGGGACCCCCAAAAGCAAAACCGAAACAGAGUGCAUAAUAUAGCCAUAACAGCAUUGAUGAUAGGUGAACCUGGCCUCUUAACUCGUCAAGGUUCAUGUUCAAAAACAACGGUUCUGCCUGCAUAGCUCUGCGUCGUUCUUUUUUUUGCACUCAAACAAAUUUUCU